GACGAACGCUGCCGGCGUGCUAAUACAUGCAAGUAGAACGCUGAAGGAGGAGCUUGCUUCUCUGGAUGAGUUGCGAACGGGUGAGUAACGCGUAGGUAACCUGCCUGGUAGCGGGGGAUAACUAUUGGAAACGAUAGCUAAUACCGCAUAAAAUUGAUUAUUGCAUGAUAGUCAAUUAAAAGGUGCAGUUGCAUCACCACCAGAUGGACCUGCGUUGUAUUAGCUAGUUGGUGGGGUAACGGCUCACCAAGGCAACGAUACAUAGCCGACCUGAGAGGGUGAUCGGCCACACUGGGACUGAGACACGGCCCAGACUCCUACGGGAGGCAGCAGUAGGGAAUCUUCGGCAAUGGACGGAAGUCUGACCGAGCAACGCCGCGUGAGUGAAGAAGGUUUUCGGAUCGUAAAGCUCUGUUGUAAGAGAAGAACGAGUGUGAGAGUGGAAAGUUCACACUGUGACGGUAUCUUACCAAAAG
rnacentral:rRNA from 1 species